rnacentral:sRNA from 1 species
AAGUCCAGCAUCUACCGGAUCCUGAUUGCAACAGACGUGGCCUCCCGGUGAGCAGCCCCCAGUCCCCUGCCAAGGGCACUCCCUCUUUUACUACAGUGCCCCAGAGAUGAGAAGGCUGACCUCAGGCAUGUCAGGCAGCCCCAGCCUCCCUGCUGAGUGACCCUGGGUGAGUCCUAGCCUCGGUUUCCCCCCAUGUCAGUGGAGCUGACCAGCCAUCUCUGCCUCCAGGGGCCUGGACAUCCCUACGGUACAGGUGGUCAUCAACCACAACACCCCCGGGCUCCCCAAGAUCUACAUCCACCGAGUCGGCCGGACAGCACGUGCAGGGCGGCAGGGUCAGGCCAUCACGCUGGUGACACAGUAUGACAUCCACCUGGUGCACGCCAUUGAGGAGCAGAUCAAGAAGAAGCUAGAGGAAUUCUCCGUGGAAGAGGCUGAGGUGCUACAGAUCCUCACACAGGUCAACGUGGUGCGAAGAGAGUGUGAGAUCAAACUGGAGGCGGCCCACUUUGACGAAAAGAAGGAGAUCAACAAACGGAAGCAGCUGAUCCUGGAGGGGAAGGACCCUGACCUGGAGGCCAAGCGCAAGGCCGAGCUGGCCAAGAUCAAGCAGAAGAACCGGCGCUUCAAGGAGAAGGUGGAGGAGACGCUGAAGCGACAGAAGGCCGGCAGGGCUGGCCACAAGGGGCGUCCACCCAGGACCCCGCCUGGGUCCCACUCAGGCCCAGUCCCCUCCCAGGGCCUAGCCUGAGCCCCACACGGCCAUCUGC